rnacentral:rRNA from 1 species
GAGUUUGAUCAUGGCUCACAUUGAACGCUGGCGGCAGGCUUAACACAUGCUAGUCGAGCGGAAACGAUGAUAGCUUGCUAUCUAGCGUCGAGCGGCGGACGGGUGAGUAAUACUUAUGAAUCUACCUAGUAGUGGGGGAUAGCUCGGGGAAACUCGAAUUAAUACCGCAUACUACCUACGGGAGAAAGGGGGCAACUUGUUGCUCUCGCUAUUAGAUGAGCCUAAGUCGGAUUAGCUAGAUGGUGGGGUAAAGGCCUACCAUGGCGACGAUCUGUAGCUGGUCUGAGAGGAUGAUCAGCCACACCGGGACUGAGACACGGCCCGGACUCCUACGGGAGGCAGCAGUGGGGAAUAUUGGACAAUGGGGGCAACCCUGAUCCAGCCAUGCCGCGUGUGUGAAGAACGCCUUUUGGUUGUAAAGCACUUUAAGCAGUGAAGAAGAUUCCAUGGUUAAUACCCAUGGACGAUGACAUUAGCUGCAGAAUAAGCACCGGCUAACUCUGUGCCAGCAGCCGCGGUAGAGGUCGGAA